AUACAUCAGAAAACCGUUCCUUGGCGGUGGAAAACAUUAAAAAAAAAAAAAAAAUCCUACCUGACAAGAUAGAAAUUUUCGAGGAAAUUCUUGUUAACUGCGAAUCCAAGGAAACCUCGCCUAAAGGGGCACAGCAGAUUAGGGCUCUCUAUUUCCCUGUUUCUAUCUAUCCCCUUUCUGGGUUUUCUUUUUUCAGCGUCAAAGGGUUUUUCUUGUCCCAUUAUUUGGAUCUAUCUCUCUGCGUUUGAAUUGAAUUCCAAAUCAAUGGGUGAGAGUGCCAAGCGCUCUCGAGGCCUAAGAGAUCAUGAUGGGGAUAAUAGGAAUCAGAAGAGAAGAUUGAAUGAUAGAGAUGAAAAAAGCAAUGAUGAACUGGUUGUUUAUAGAAUACUUUGCCCUGAUGGGGUGAUUGGAAGUGUCAUUGGUAAAGGUGGUAAAGUCAUAAAUUCGAUUAGGCAGGAGACGAGGGCAAAGGUUAAGGUGGUUGAUCCAUAUCCCGGUGCAAAGGAUAGGGUUAUAACAAUAUAUUGUUAUGUGAAGGAGAAGGAAGAAGUUGAGGUAGAUGAUGAAUUCAAUGACAAACAACCUUUAUGUGCUGCUCAGGAUGCUCUUCUUAGAGUUCACGCUGCAAUUGCAAAUGCUGUGACUGUCACAGGGGAUUCGGAUAAGAAGUGGACAGAUAAGUACAGGGAGGAAUGCCAAAUUCUUGUCCCAUCUAGCCAAUCUGCAAAUAUUAUUGGUAAGGCUGGCACAACUAUUAAGAAACUGAGGGGCAAGACCAGAAGCAACAUUAAAGUUACUGCUAAGGAUGCCGGUGAUCCAAGCCAUUCUUGUGCCAUGGAUUUUGACAACUUCAUUCAGAUAACUGGUGAACCAGAGGCUGUUAAGAAAGCACUUUUUGCUGUUUCUGCAAUCAUGUACAAGUUCAGCCCCAGAGAAGAAAUCCCUCUUGAGACAACAGUGGGAGAAGCUCCUGCAGCCCCAAGCAUCAUUAUCCCAUCAGAUGUCCCUAUUUAUCCACCAGGUGGCUUAUAUCCAAAUUCAGAUCCUAUUGCCCAUUCUAGAUCAGUUCCACCAAUAUUGGGUGCUGCACAUGUGCCAGAUCUUCAGGGAUAUGCUGAUUCAGGGAGUACCUGGCCUGUGUAUUCAUCUGCUCUUCCUGUAGUUUCUGGUUUUGCUGGUGCCUCUCGAUCUGAAGAGUUGAUAAUCAGAGUACUAUGCCCAUUUAACAAGAUUGGGCGUGUCAUUGGCAGGGGCGGGGGUACUAUUAAAAGUAUAAGGCAGGCAAGCGGUGCUCAUAUCGAGGUUGAUGAUACAAAGGCUGAUCGUGACGAAUGUAUUAUCACUGUCAUAGCUACAGAGUCACCUGAUGAUUUAAAAUCCAUGGCUGUUGAAGCUGUUCUGUUGCUUCAAGGGAAGAUUAAUGAUGAAGAUGACGAUACUGUGACUAUGAGGCUCCUUGUUCCAUCUAAAGUUAUUGGUUGUGUUAUUGGAAAAGGUGGUUCUAUUAUAAAUGAAAUUCGGAAGAGAACUAAAGCAGAUGUCCGUAUAUCAAAAGGGGAGAAGCCCAAGUGUGCCAAUGCUAAUGAUGAGCUCAUUCAGCUCGCUGGAGAAGCUAGUAUCGUAAGAGAUGCACUUAUACAGAUUGUUCUAAGGCUCCGAGAUGAUGUUCUGAAAGAAAAGGACAGUGGUCAUAACCCUUCUGUAGGUGCAGAUUCUUUCUACUCAGCUGGUACCAGUCUUUCAGUGCCAUCUCUCUUGUCUUCUGUUCCUUCAGCUGCUCCUUUGGCUUUUGAUCAAACGGCUGAAAGUGGAACUGGCCUUGGCGUGCUGUCUUCAAGCAGCCUCUACGGAUAUGGAACCUUGUCGAUGGGUGAAAAUGACUAUGGGUCCAUGUCCUCUUAUUCGUCAAAGCUCUAUGGAGGGUUGCCUCCAUCUUCAACUCUUGAAAUAUUGAUCCCUGCUAAUGCAGUUGGUAAAGUGAUUGGCAAAGGAGGGCUCAAUUUAUCCAACAUAAGGAAGAUAUCAGGGGCAAUGAUUGAAAUUUCUGAAUCCAAAUCCUUACGAGGGGAACGUGUUGCUCUUAUAACUGGCACUCCACAGCAGAAGCAUGAAGCUGAAAACUUGAUUCAGGCAUUUAUAAUGGCCACCUAAAACUUAAAGAUAUUCUUGAUAGUUGAAGGUGAAUAGUUAAAAUCUUAGAAUUUUCCCCAUCAAAUGUUUCCUCUAGGUCAUUCACUUAGUUUUGGUGUUUGGAGAUGGCUUCUCAUUCUAGUUUUCUUCAACCGAACUCUUUGUGUUUCUUCCAUAACAGUGCCUUUCAAGAUCAUUCUGGAAGAUUUGCUGCUGGUUUAGCAUUCAUGGGAGCUAGGUUCCAUCCUCAUCGCUUAAACUUUUCUCCAUCUGCGAUAUCUUAGACUUUUUAGGAUCUUUCUUUCCUUGGGAACUUUUAUAUCGGGUCUUUUCUUAGUAUGACGUCCUUGUUUCCAAUAUUUUUAUACUCUGAAUUUAAUGUUUGAGCCUAGAAAUAUUUCAGUGAUCGUAAUUGGCAAAUUCAUAGUAUGUUUAUUUAUUAUAUGUCUAUCUUUCCAUCUCUUGCUCUCAGCUGCUCAAUAGAGUAUCCUCCUAUUGAUGGUACAAUGUGACACUUUGAUGAUUAUUCCUCCUCCAUCUAUUCCCUGGUCAGAUUGUAGUGCAAUUUCUAAAGAAAAGGGGAAUCAUCCACCUGAAAUAAAUGGAAUAUUGACAAUUCUGUGAAUUACAUCCUCCAUCCCUUUUACUCUAUUCUGAAUCUUGUGCAAUGUUCCUGGCUUGAUGAAUCAGUCAAUGCAAAAAUCGAACACAGUUUUAUCUUAUAGAAAUAUUUUAUUUCUGAGCUUCUCUGGCUACCUUGAUUAUCAUUUAUUGCUGCAAAUUUCACAGCUUGUCUGAUGAGAAAUUCAUCAUAACUCCUGUAUCUGGAUCUGUUUUCUGCUUGAGAAUGAUUGCAUUUAACUUAUUCACUCAUACUCUUUUGCUUCCCUGGAUCUUGGUUUGCCAAGUGAACUGAAAUCUCAUGAUUUUACUUUUGUCUCUUGGACGUAGCUUAUGAAGAAAUUUUCGCAUCCUGAAUAUAGAUGCCCUUGGUGGAACCUUUCAUAGCAAACAGGAAAUGCAUAUGGUCUAAAGUCACCUUUCCAGUUCCAAGAAUGCCUUGGUUACAUUUCAUCAACCUUGUUUUUGAAAUCGAAAAUCGGUUGAGCUUUGGGGAUAAAGAAUCACACUGCAUUUUAUGCUUUGUAGGCAAAUUCCUUAUAUUAUGGUGUCAGAUACCGAUAUUAAUAGUUACGUAGCUCAUGAGCAUGAUUAGUGAUGCUUGCUUCCUUAACAAUCACGUAUCACAUCUUUUCCUAGAACGGCAUGCAUGUACAAAUGUAAGGGGUGGGCUGUGUCUCCACAAUGUUUACUUCCCUGGCUUCUAAUAUGACUAUUUUCACCAGACACAUAUUUGCUUUCUUUCAAUGGCAUUUUCGUUUUUCAAUCUUUCUCUUCCACCUUUGACUGUUUUCCUCCCCUGCAAUUGAUAACAAAGUGAAUAUGCAUUUUAUUUUUUUACCAUGAAACUAUGAGGUGCAUUUCUGUCUUUUGAUUGCUCUGCACGAUUUUCCUAAGGGUUGGUUAUUUCUAAUGGAUUGCUUUAGCAUUUCAAUGAUGUUCGCAUUCCCAUUUCUCAUCGUCUCAUCUGGCAGCAGUUUGAAACCUUUGGGGCUUUUAAUGGUUGCUAGCCAGUUCGUUUCAUUUGGAAAUUCUGGCUGCCGGUGGCAUAUCUCAAAUGACUCUCUGAUGUUAGUGUGCUCUCUGUCAAUUAACUAUCUAUUGAUCUUUUACUGCAUUCUUUUCUUCUAUUUCUUCAUAUCUAUACAAACGGCUGGCUUCUUAGUUUGUAUUAUAUGGUCUGCUUCAGCGUCUAUGUUUAGGACUGAUCACUUACUCUUCUUUAGCUAGAUUAUUUAGAACCACCUAUAUUUAGAAUGAGAAUCAAUAUUAAUUAUAUGCAGUUAUGUCGUCAAGGACUUUCUUAGGUUGAUCAUUAUUUUUAGUCAGAAUAUAUUCAUUCUACUGAAACUAUGCCACUGGAUGGUAAACAGUUUACACCACCCUUCACCUAGGGGGCUGAGGGUAUAGUUUAUGGUAGAAGUAUCCUGUUUCUGGUUUAUACAUUUUUGUAAAUAUGGAAGACAUUUUAGUGGUACUGUUAGAGGUGAUAUCUGUAGCUUCAGCUGGAAUUAUAUAUAUUAUUGGAUUCAAAAUUCAAAAGCUGUUUUUCUUGGUUCUGAAUCAUCUUUUGUGAAUGAACACAUGAAGGAGUUAUUAACCAUGUAAAAACUUGUGAUGAAAUGUUCUUUUUGUUUUAUGGGGAUGAAAAUGCUUUAAUGGAAACUGUUAAUGCGUUUUUUUUUUUUUUUCCUUUCAUUAUUUAUGGAUAAUAGUUGCAGUUGAGCAGUCAGGCCUUGCACUACUCUCUUAUUAUGACUCAGGCCAUUCUUCUUAUUAGCAUCUGAAAACAGAGAGUUCCCUUCUUGCGUAAAAAAUUUUUGGGGUUUCUCAGAAGUUAAAAAAUUCCGCGCGUGAUAAUUGUGUGCCUACUGAAACAAUCUAUUAUUAUUAAAAAAUUCCGUGCGUGAUAAUUGUGUGCCUACUGAAACAAUCUAUUAUUAAACUGUUUUUUUCUUUUGGGUGAUUUCUAAAAUGCCUUUGUUAAUGGAGUACUAGCAAUCUUGUGCUUGACCUUGCCAACUUUAAUACAAUUUAAUUUAUGUUGCUAAGAAUUCAAGGUACAAUCACUUAGCCAGAUUUGAGAUUCCAGAGCCAGAGUUUUAGUAUAUGACAAGUACAUACCAUCAGUGCUCGGUCAGGUUCUUAUUACAUGUAAGGUUGAGAGUUACGUCUAAUAUUUGUACUAAUAAAAAGCUCUGACAACUGCGGCGAUCAGAGUACUUUGGAUAAAAUAUUACGUGUAAUCAACUCCAAAGUUUGCAUAUUUUCGUUAUUUUUUGUUUCCUUUUAUGUUUUAUAUAGUCUUGAUCUUUCUCUUUCCAAAAAAAAAAAGAAAAGAAGUCUGAUCUUUUUCAUUUUAUUCUCGUUAGCGUCGUGUUUAUAGAGAAAGAUCAAUAAAUAUGGAGGAAAACCAAGCACUUAAGACUAGGUUUUAUAGCUUCUCGUUCAGUUCUUUGCUUCGUACAAAAUCUUAAACAGUGUAAUUGAGUUUUUCUAAACAAAAGAAUGGGCUGGUUUUGUUGGUUUCUUACAAGCGGGGAUAAUAUUAUAUAAUUGACGGACAUUGGGAUUUGUAAGCAAGUAUCACCGUUUAAAUAUUCAGCAUAACGACAGUCCUAUAUAAUUGAGAAGAGAGGGAAAAAUCUCAGUUUGCUUUGCACCGUAACAGCAAAAAGAUAGAAAAAAAAUGUACUAGUUUUUUGUUAGUGUCACCGGAAAAGGGAAAUAACGAGGAAACCGUUACAGUCUUUGUUAAGUAGAGUGAGCAGAACAAGCAGCCGGAGCUAUGGUGUUGUGGCUGAAGCCAGCUCUUUCUUCUUCCGGCCACCUCAUCCACCGUGAAUAUGAACAUAGUGCCCACAAGGACAUUGUAAUCCAAAGAUCAUCAACGCAUUCCAAGAACAGGUAGAAAGACUCACUCUCAGUUCCAGAGCCUUCUACAAUGACAGAUUUCCAAUUUUCGCAAGCGUUUGGCAAUUAUGUUUGGCUAUGAGAUGGUGCUUCCCAUGAACACUCGUGCUGAAGGAUUGGAAACUGCUCUGAAGUAGGCAAGGAAAUGGGGUUAUGGGAAGAAAAAAAUUCCCAAAGAUGAGGUAAAUCUUUGUUAACCGACCUUUCUUUGCAUGGCAAAUAGAUCCCCUUGCCUGAUUAAUUGGAGAUAUAUAUCAUGUACAAGUGCUUAGUACACAAGGGAAAAAAAAAAGUAGUUUUGGAAACAGAAACCCUGAGGUUUUGCUUUCCUAUCUGAUUUAUUUGCAAAGCACUCAUGAUUUUGGAUGGCAGCUAGUUUUCGAAUAGAGUUAUUCUUCUUUCUGGGCUAUUAUCGUCUCUUGUUGUGGCUGCUUCCAUGGUCAUACAUUGGCUGGCAUCUCUAUGAGCUGUGACAAUGAGGCUACUUGUGGAUUCGGGCCAUUGUUGCCUG